UCUGUCCGUCUGUCCGUAUGUAUGAACGCAAGGAUCUUAGAAACUAUAAGAGCUUGAGACUUGUAGGUCCGAUCGAAAUCCUGGUUUUUGAGCAAAUUGGGUAUAUAAUGUUACGGUCAUCGGUUUCUCUGGGUGUAGUCCCAUCACUGGCCCGCAGUCCGCACAAUCGAUAACAACGAAGCUACACGUCUGUAGCAAAACAGACUUACACAACACUAUGCAAAGCGAACCACCACUCGAUAACGUCAAACAAUCGGAACUUCUACCUCAUGAACAAAAUAAACAGCUGUAACAACUAUGAACAUGUAAACAACAAAGAUCGGGCCCCGGUUCCGGACCCAGCGUACCCGCCCAAACAUGAGACGAUCACCUACUCGUCUCCCACGUUCUGCCAUUAGAUGGCCAUCAGCCUGUGCCGGCUGUUAUGCCAACUCUCCCCAUCAAAGCAAAUUUAGCCGGACAUUUCUCUCUUCAGAUUCGGUUAUCUUCAAGCCAUUAUUUAUACUUUCGGACUCACGAACAUUUCCGGCAUUUUAAACCAGAAUAUAUUUUUCUGUUGGCGACCUUCGUAUGAUACCGGCGACCAAAAGAAAAGGCCAGAAGUUAUUGCCAGUCAACAAAGGAGGAAAACAGGGGGAGAAAUAUAAACACAGACGCAAUAAUCUUUGGGCCCUUUCCUUUCCGGUUCGCACUUUUAAAUUUACUUAAUUUAAACUAGUCGGAGCACAAUGGCAAGUCUGCGUCUGACUCUGCCCUUUACUCAGGCGAGGAGGCACGAAAUGGAACAGACUCACUCGGAUGACAUGGGCGUGGUCUCGCCCGUGGCUGCCUCUUCGUCGUGUGAGUCCCGUCCGUGAUGGCUCGUCUCUCCGUCGUGUGGAUUACGCCGACACUUGUCCGCGCUUUGAAAAUUCAGCCCUUGAAUAUCGGGGUUGAUCUGGCCAGCGUCCUCCGGCGCGGGAUUCAAACGUGGUGUGCCACAGAAUGGCUGCGGCUGCUCUAAUAGAGUAUGGUUUUUAUAGUAGGUUUCAAUGACGACAGUGUGUUUCGGGUGUAUUAUUGUUUCGCGUAUUGUCGCUCUUGGGCACUAUUUCUUUUGCAAUACGUUAGCACAUAAGGAAUUAUCUUCGCAAUUAAAUAAUAAAGAAAACCCGUCAUGAACAAAUGUA